GUGGCAACACUUCUGUCGGCGACCGGCGCACGGGUGAGUAACGCGUAUGCAACCUGCCCUUCACAGGGGGAUAACCGGGAGAAAUUCCGACUAAUACCGCAUACGUCCUCCGGGGGCAUCCCCGGGGGAUGAAAGAAUUAUCGGUGAAGGAUGGGCAUGCGUGAUAUUAGGUAGUUGGCGGGGCAACGGCCCACCAAGCCUACGAUAUCUAGGGGUUCUGAGAGGAAGGUCCCCCACAUUGGUACUGAGACACGGACCAAACUCCUACGGGAGGCAGCAGUGAGGAAUAUUGGUCAAUGGACGAGAGUCUGAACCAGCCAAGUCGCGUGAAGGAAGACGGAUCUAUGGUUUGUAAACUUCUUUAGUGCGGGAACAAAGCGGCGUCGUGACGCCGGAUGAGUGUACCGCAAGAAUAAGCAUCGGCUAACUCCGUGCCAGCAGCCGCGGUAAUACGGAGGAUGCGAGCGUUAUCCGGAUUUAUUGGGUUUAAAGGGAGCGCAGGCUGCGAGGCAAGUCAGCGGUCAAAUGUCGGGGCUCAACCCCGGCCUGCCGUUGAAACUGUCUUGCUAGAGUUCGAGUGAGAUAUGCGGAAUGCGUUGUGUAGCGGUGAAAUGCAUAGAUAUGACGCAGAACUCCGAUUGCGAAGGCAGCAUACCAACUCGCGACUGACGCUGAGGCUCGAAAGCGUGGGUAUCGAACAGGAUUAGAUACCCUGGUAGUCCACGCAGUAAACGAUGAAUACUAACUGUUCGGAGGGCGACCUCUGAGUGGUAAAGCGAAAGCGUUAAGUAUUCCACCUGGGGAGUACGCCGGCAACGGUGAAACUCAAAGGAAUUGACGG
rnacentral:rRNA from 1 species